rnacentral:ncRNA from 1 species
GCCGCGGGACGACCCGCGGCCACGGGAACCGGGCGGGGACGGCCCCG